rnacentral:rRNA from 1 species
AUGAAUUAUGAGUUUAAUAGAUCCCCUUUAGCAGAAAGACGUAUAUUCUUUGCUCAUUAUCAGACAGUCACUUAUUCUCAAACCUCGUGUGGGACUGAUUUUCAUUUACCAUCUCAUGAAAAACCAUUUUCGUUCCGCUUAGCCCUAUCGGGUAUUUUAGUGAUAGGUUCUAUAGGAAGCGAAAGAUACAAAAAUGAUCUGAGGUUCAGUACGAACUCCCAAGAAGAGCGAAAAUAA